GACGAACGCUGGCGGCGUGCCUAAUACAUGCAAGUCGAACGCACAGUUUAUACCGUAGCUUGCUACACCAUAGACUGUGAGUUGCGAACGGGUGAGUAACGCGUAGGUAACCUGCCUGGUAGCGGGGGAUAACUAUUGGAAACGAUAGCUAAUACCGCAUAAUAUUAAUUAUUGCAUGAUAAUUAAUUGAAAGGUGCAAUUGCACCACUACCAGAUGGACCUGCGUUGUAUUAGCUAGUAGGUGAGGUAACGGCUCACCUAGGCGACGAUACAUAGCCGACCGGGGCGGGUGCUCGGCCACACUGGGACUGGGACACGGCCCAGACUCCUACGGGAGGCAGCCGUAGGGAAUCUUCGGCAAUGGGUGAAAGUCAGAGCGAGCAACGCCGCGUGAGUGAAGGAGGGUUUCGGCUCGUAAAGCUCUGUUGUAAGCGAAGAACGGGUGUGAGAGUGGAAAGUUCACACUGUGACGGUAUCUUACCAGAAAGGGACGGCUAACUACGUG
rnacentral:rRNA from 1 species